rnacentral:rRNA from 1 species
GAUAACAGGUGGUGCAUGGUUGUCGUCAGCUCGUGUCGUGAGAUGUUGGGUUAAGUCCCACAACGAGCGCAACCCUUAUGCUUAGUUGCUAACUUGUUUUACAAGUGCACUCUAAGCAGACUGCCGCAGAUAAUGCGGAGGAAGGUGGGGAUGACGUCAAAUCAUCAUGCCCCUUACGUCCCGGGCUACACACGUGCUACAAUGGCCUGUACAGAGGGUAGCGAAAGAGCGAUCUUAAGCCAAUCCCAAAAAGCAGGCCCCAGUUCGGAUUGGAGGCUGCAACUCGCCUCCAUGAAGUAGGAAUCGCUAGUAAUCGCGGAUCAGCAUGCCGCGGUGAAUACGUUCCCGGGCCUUGUACACACCGCCCGUCACACCACGAAAGUUGGCGAUACCUGAAGUUACUGGGCUAACCCCGUAAGGGGAGGCAGGUACCGAAGGUAUGGCUAGCGAUUGGGGUGAAGUCCUAACAAGGU